CAGUUCACAUCUACAAGUAAAACUUGUUUAUUCCUACAUAGUUAUUAUUUGGGUACAUUCAAAGGAAUCUGUAGACAAUACACAGGAAAUUUUAGUGUUGGUUUGUUGUUUUUUUUUUUUUUUUCAGUCACAGAUACCAUGAGAAAGAAAAAGUUAGUGAAAGUGCUCAGACACAAUUUUUCAGCAAAUUAUUCCAGAAAUUACUAACUAAACUGCUGCACUGAAAAAGUGUAGAUUUCUGCAAAUUGAUUAAGUAAUAGGGUUUUACAGAACUAACUAUGUCAUUCUUGGUGCAUCCAGACUAAUUCUUACUCAGAUUUUCCUGAUAUUUUCCACUGUCUGAGAUUUGUACACAGAAAAGAGCAACAAGUUUAACAAUCACCAGGAGGAUCAUAAUUUGGCAAGUAUCGCAGUGGGAAGAAAACACAACAGUAAGACACCUCACAUAUCUUUCCUUUGAACCUGAUCCCUUUCCUGUGAUAAAUAACAUUUCUUUAAGUAAUCAGAUGUCUGAGAACACUAACCAUGAUAUUGGUCAGAAUACCUCAGUGGAGGAAGAACAUCUGAUGAGAAAGAGACAGCUGACGAGAAAAGUCCAAGCUAGGAAGCUCUUUGUUGGGCUAAGCAGUCAUUACUGAUGUGUGAAGAGGUAGGUUCCUUCAAAGAAAUUGGCAAAAACUCAAGAAAUUAUCAGCAGAAAAUAUUUUUACAGGAGAGUUCUAACAGAGAGUUUCUGAGUGAAAACUGUGUUAACAAGUGUUCUGCAAAAAUAAGCAGAAUUUCAGAAUUGAAUUCACCAUGAUUUAAUGUGAAUAGUAAAAAUUGGGAAGAAGGUCUAAUAUAGUAAAAAUUCAGGAAGAAGGUAUCUUUAAGGUAUUUUUCAGCAUUCAAUGGCUGCUUCUUGAAAGGAACUUACAUUGCAUGCUUUUAUGCAAGGGAUAAUGCAUGCUCUAAUAGUAAAUAUUUUGUGUAUGGUUUUCAAAAUCUUAGGCCAGUAUCAGUUACUUUCUAGUUCUGCAAAUCAGUUAAGUAUAUGCGAUCUGUACUUGGCUUCAGACAGAAGCAGGGAAGUUUUAUAAAAAGGGAUGCAAUUCAAAUAAUUUAUCACAUGUAAAUUUAAUUUGUCAAAAAGUGCCUGGUGUCUGUUAUUUAAAGGACAAAAAUCACGAGCCUGAAUUCCUACAUGAACUGCUUCCCCUCACCUUAAUGGCAAAAAGUUAAUUAUCCUGACAUGUACAGACUUAAUUUCAGGAAAAGCUAACUUUUUUAAGUAAGUAGUUUAACACUACCACCCCCUUACUCCUCACACACAAAUCUAAAGGUAAGCAGUCUAUUCAGAGACUGAACUUUAGCUGACUCUUUUUUCUUUUUUUUUUUUCUGUCAUCAUCCUCCAACUGCUUUGAUGUUACUAGAGAUUACAUUGAAGUAUGAUUAGAAGGGAUGCUGGAAUUGUGCCCAACUCUCCUCCCAGGAUUUUUAAGAGAGAUUAUUGACUGCACCACUGGUUUCUCCUCCUAACUGGAAUAGCAUUAUACCACUUUUGAGCUGUUACUGGGAUGCCAUUCACCUCAAAGGGAGGCAGCAAUCAAAAGUUAUGAUGUCAUCUUUCCAGAUCAUCAGCAAUGGUAGGACAGCAAUAGAAAAUAUCUCUUCAUGGAUUACAAAUUCUGCACUAUCACAGUUCUGUAUGCAUUGUGCUAGAAUUCCUUGGGCCACGUGUUAUUUCCCUGAGGGUCGUUUCUGCACAUAUGGAGGCAAUGGGUACCUUGCUCUUGACUUCAAAUGGAGAAUGACUAAAUUCUGAACUUUAUUUGCCUAAAGCCUGAAGACAACCUCAGAUUUGCAUUCAACAUGGAGUUGUGGACCAGUAAAGGAAGAGCAAGGAAUAAAGAUGACUUGCUGUAACCUGCCCUUCUGGACUCAAGCUGAAGACCUUAGGACUUGAAUGAACAGCGCAACAUCAAAGGAAAGGGAUAGAUGUUAUGCAUUAUGUGGAUAAUAAUGUAACAGUGUUAUUUUUGAGAUUUUAUCUGUAAAAUUAUGCCUAAUUUUCUUUUUUCCCCUUCUGUAAUACUUAAUUCUGGAUUUAUUAGCAACUUAUGUGAUUAGACUGUUAAGGUAUCAUUUAGACUAUAAUGAAUGAUUUCAGAUAAUAUAAGGUGUAUUUUCUUUUGCUCAUAACUAGACUUUGAGGUAACGGAUGACCAUAUUCUUUUUAUUUUAUUUUUUAACAGCAAACACAAAAAGAGAUAUAUCUUCCAAAGGAGGCAGGAGUUAUGAUGAUGCUUAUUUUUCAUACAAUAGCCCAUAUUCAAUUUGUUUUAUCCAACGUCUGUUUAGCUUAUAGCAUGUAAAUAGUACUUUAUACAGUGACUUCAAAAAUUCAGUAGUCACUCAAUCCCUAUCGUGCCUUCAGUAUUCUCUGUUUGAACUUCAUGGUGACUCAGACUGAGGAAUUCUUGCAUUAAAAAAUAUAUUUCAAGGGAGGAGCCCUUGAGAUUUAAGGAUUUCCAGCUAGAAAGCAACUAACUGCAUAUAUUCACUUUAAAAUCUAUAAUACUAAUAAAAAUGUAAUACUAAUAAAACACAUUAUUUUUGCCUUCUUAAGGAGCCAAUAUGACUAUAAAUAGAAAACUCCAAUGAGGAGUUGGAGAACAUCAUUCCUGUUGAAAAAGAUAGUGUAAUUUCUUCUUUAAUAAAGUUAAUUGGAUGCACGUAACACAUGAGAAUCUCCUCAGAAGUUCUCAUUCCUAACUGAGCAUUCAACUAAAUUAGUUGAUUGGUGGUACUUUAAUCUGGAAGGAAAGGUAUGGAUUUAAGCAGACAGGAAGACUGAAUAGAUACUACUCUCUGAAAAGCUCCAUGCUGAUUCUUAAAUUUUUCCAAUACAGUAUACAUUAUAUUUUCAUUAUCAGUUUGUGUGUCAAAAUUCCUGUAAUACCACAUUACAUAGAUGUCUACUGUAAUUCAGAAAGGCGCUUGUCAUAUAGGUUAUACAGGUAAUCUAAAACACACCAAUUGGAAGGAAAUGCCAAACUGACCACAAGCAUUUCAGGAGUCUUGGGAAUUUUCCAACUAACUAAAAAAAAAAAAAAAAAAAAGCAGCAGACCAGAGAAAUCAUUGUCUUAUGGUGUUUUAGGUUGUUUGAGCAAUCUUACAAAUCUAAUAAUCAUUAGUGAUGCUUAUUAGGUCAGAAGAGAGAUCUUCACCAGGAUUUUUUGCUUUCAUAACACCAGCAGAAAAGUGAAUGAAUGGAGGAUGGAGGUUAGUGUAGAUGUAGUAUCAGUAUCAAGUUUCUGUUACUAUUGGCCAUGUCCCUCAUUAUAAGAAAUUCUAUUUUCUUUUUUGUCACGGAUUGAUGUCAGUGUUCUAAGAAAAUCGCAUUCAGACAACUAGAUACAUCACUACCAAGAAAAAAUAAAUACCAAUACAUAAGUUUUGUAAAAGUCUCAAAUGCAGAAGUCCUACCGUAAUUAAAGGAACUGGAUAAGAUUGGAUUAGUAAAAAUAAGGAUGAUAUUAGUAAAUAUAAGAUUGAAUCACUAAAGAUAAUUGUGUAAGUAAAUCUGUAAAAUAAAUAAAGGAAUUGUUUAAAUUGAGAGCUUUUUGUUACCCACUAUAUGGAUUAAUUUUUAUAAUCUAUCAGAUAAAUUUAUUUCUGGUGUGCACAUAGGACUCACAGCAAACCAAGAAGAAUUUUUCCUCUAUCAUAUGUCACUGUAGCAGCAGUGGUUCCAUGAAAAAUAUCUCAUUUUUAUUGCCUUAACCUUACCAUCUGACAUUUUCAUUUCAUAUCACUCAGGAUUUUUUUUUGUUGUUGUUGGAAAUAAUAAAUAAUUAUUUCUCUGUGUGCCUUACAAACUUGUAGACCUCUACCACAAUGCUUUUUCUCUGUUCUGCAGCAAAUAUUUGGAAAACACUUGGUAUCCUUAAGACUUCUACACCUGUAGGAAACCUUAAAAUUUACUAAUGGGUUCAAAAGUUAUUUAGAAAAUCACAGGAAAAGGACUGAUUGACAAAAAGGUACUUUUCUGGUGCUACAAACUGAACAUAGACUGCCAAUCAGGUUUCUGUGGAAAGCCAGUAUUUUCUACAAAAUAGAUUCUAGUAAUUCAGAAGAAUUAGAUGCAUAGUACCUUAAAAAAAAAAAAAAACUACAUUUUUGCAUUUUAAUUAAUAUAAGGCUGAUUGUGCUAUUGUUGAGAUUAAAUAACACGAUUUUUAGAAGCAUGUUUACUUAAAGUUUUGCCAAAUGUGAGCUAAAAUUUUCCAUGUUGCUUUUCUUUAUACUUCAACUAGUGCAUUUCAUUAGCUCUCAGAAAAAGCCAUGCAUGAUUUUGAAUUUUAAAUCUUGGCCACAUUUCCGCUCCUAUGCUUUAUAGACAGGAAAAAA